rnacentral:rRNA from 1 species
AUUGAACGCUGGCGGCAUGCUUUACACAUGCAAGUCGAACGGUAACAGGCCUUCGGGCGCUGACGAGUGGCGAACGGGUGAGUAAUGCAUCGGAACGUGCCCAGUCGUGGGGGAUAACGCAGCGAAAGCUGUGCUAAUACCGCAUACGAUCUGCGGAUGAAAGCGGAGGACCUUCGGGCCUCGCGCGAUUGGAGCGGCCGAUGCUAGAUUAGGUAGUUGGUGGGGUAAAGGCUCACCAAGCCAACGAUCUGUAGGUGGUCUGAGAGGACGACCCGCCACACUGGGACUGAGACACGGCCCAUACUCCUACGGGAGGCAGCAGUGGGGAAUUUUGGACAAUGGGCGUAAGCCUGAUGCAGCAAUGCCGCGUGCAGGAAGAAGGCCUUCGGGUUGUAAACUGCUUUUGUACGGAGCGAAAAGGCUCCCUCUAAUACAGGGGGCUCAUGACGGUACCGUAAGAAUAAGCACCGGCUAACUACGUGCCAGCAGCCGCCGUAAAAC